GGCCGUAGCGCGGGGAGCUCUCAUAGGGAUUGGUCUUCUCGGGGUUUCUUUACCGGCGUUGCUAUGUUUCCGGUCUUGUGUGUUCCAACGGUUUAUUAGGUAGGCCUAUCUAAUAAAUCUCUGUCUAUUCAAUACUUCAUUCACUGCCUCUUCCGUGGUCAUUACAAUAUUAUGAAUAUACUGCGUCGGGCCCUCCGACGUCUCUCCCUCUUCCACAAAAGGGACUCAGGACUACACGCAAGGCCCGGCCUGGACAUCCUGUCAUCCCCUCCCCCUCAGAGCCCCUCUCUCCCGGCAGGCCGGUCCAGAGAGCAACCAGCCCCCCCCCCCAAUGGACACCCUGCCCUAGCCUUGCCUUGGCUCGCUGUCAGCAGAGCUGACAUCAAACGCCUCCUGAAACCAGGGUUCCCCCCAUGGCAUUUGAAGUGUGGGGGACCAUUGUUUUCCAAACACCUGCUCCUGACCUCUCCCUCCGUCUCCUACGUGAAGACCCCUGGCCCACACUGAGGGAGGACGGCGAAAACCAAAACGUAAAGAGAAAGCACGUUGUAGAUGAGCAUGUAGAGAGGGUGCUGGAGAUUGGGGGGGGGGGGGUUGUUUAACUAGCCCGGUAACUUGUGUUGACAAGCAGCUCAGCUGAUGUCUGUAUGCUUUCCAAGGAAGGGGCUUAUCAAGGAGACCAGCAUGUCUCUACCCUUUUGUGGAGAGGAUGACUCUGAUGGAUCCAGCUCUUUGGGGAAAAAUGGACAAGGAAGAGCUGCAAAGUGGUGGGCUCCUCGCUGUAGCUCCAUGGUCUCCCUGGACCUAGACAAGAAGAGACACUUUUUCCACAGGCUCUGGGGUGGCCUUUUGCAUAUGAUGCUGUUUUCAAACAAGGAUUUGGUCUUGUUUGAUGUUUCACACUGUGUGUGUCUUUUUCGUA
ensembl:lncRNA